GGACGCUGCGGCGGCCUAACACAUGCAAGUCGAACGGUAACAGGGGUAGCAAUACCUGCUGACGAGUGGCGCACGGGUGAGUAACACGUUUGCAACCUACCUUUGACUGGGGGAUAGCCCGAAGAAAUUCGGAUUAAUACCCCAUAACAUUCAUAAGGGGCAUCCUUUAUGAAUUAAAGCUUCGGCGGUCGAAGAUGGGCAUGCGUACCAUUAGCUUGUUGGAGAGGUAACGGCUCACCAAGGCAACGAUGGUUAGGGGGUCUGAGAGGAUGGUCCCCCACACUGGUACUGAGACACGGACCAGACUCCUACGGGAGGCAGCAGUGAGGAAUUUUCCGCAAUGGGCGAAAGCCUGACGGAGCAAUACCGCGUGAAGGACGACGGCCUAUGGGUUGUAAACUUCUUUUCUCAGAAAAGAAUACAUGACGGUAUCUGAGGAAUAAGCAUCGGCUAACUCCGUGCCAGCAGCCGCGGUAAUACGGAGGAUGCAAGCGUUAUCCGGAUUUAUUGGGUUUAAAGGGUGCGUAGGCGGGGUAGCAAGUCAGUGGUGAAAGUCUGCAGCUUAACUGUAGAAUUGCCGUUGAUACUGUUACUCUUGAAUUCAGUUGAGGCAGGCGGAAUGUGUAAAUGUAGCGGUGAAAUGCAUAGAUAUUACACAGGAACACCGAUUGCGUAGGCAGCUUGCUAAACUGCGAUUGACGCUGAGGCACGAAAGCGUGGGGAUCAAACAGGAUUAGAUACCCUGGUAGUCCACGCCGUAAACGAUGAUUNACUGGAUGUGUGCGAUACACUGUACGCGUCC
rnacentral:rRNA from 1 species